UUCGAGAUGUAGUUUUAUAUU
ensembl:piRNA 21ur-1804 ncRNA